GCGCAGGCUGCAGGGAGAAAUACAGAGAAUUUCACAAACCCUUCAGCUUCAACCCCACAGCCACCACCAAGCUCCCUCAACAGACACUGGAAGCGUAAUAUCUGGUCCUUUUACCCAGGUCCUAGAAUCUCUUCCUCCUGAAUGGUUCACGGCUUGCUGGAAGAAGAGUUUUCACAUGCUGUGUUGGGGACUUAGGUUGAAGCUGAACUCUUUCAAGAAACCUGGGAAUAGGUCAGAGGAUCCUGGAAAUUUAUAACAAACCAUGUGGCCCGAUAUUUCGUGAAAAGAUGUGGUGAAUGAAGAAAAACUCAUCAAAUGAAACAAACAAACAAAAAAAAACCAUUGGGUGAAGACAAGUACAAGACAAAGGAUGAAACUUGACUUUCCUGACUUUUCUGCAUCUGUACUUCUCGUCCUGAAGGUGUCUGGAGACCCUUCCUCUAAUUGACCAGUUCCUGCCCGAGACCAUCUUUUAUACAAAUUCCCAGGCCCUCUAUGUUCACUUCUCUCCUUGAUCCACUUUUGACUCUAGAAUUUUCUACCUUACUUUGAGGGAACACACUCCCCCCCUCUCCAUUUUCCAGAUCCCUUUUAAGUAUCAUCUUUCUUAAUUAGAAUAUAAAAUCCUGGAGAACAGCUUUUGCCUUACAUUUGUGUUUUCAGUGCUUAUCAUAGUGCCUGCGCAUGUAGUAGGUGUUUAACAAAUGCUCUAUCUGGAUUAAUAAAUAAAUAAUUUAUAAUAACAAUAAAAAUAAAUUAAAAGUAAAUAAAAUA